rnacentral:misc_RNA from 1 species
UCGUAUCACAGAGGCGGCGAGGGUUGUCGCUGACCUUUCUAAAAGGUCGUGCACGCCCGAGUGCUUCUCAAUCCAUUUCACCCUUUGUGCAUCACCGCGUGGGGUCUUCUCCCUCUUGACUCGCUUCGAGAGAGGGAGGCUCGCGUUUUUCACACAUAAACAACACCCUUAUAGUUUAGAAUGUCAUUCAUUUGCGGUCACACGCAAUCAAUA